CGCUGCGCCGCUGAUGGCUGGGGACGUCUCACUUCAUCUGUCACCAGGUUGCAUAGCAAUCCAAGGACCCAGACUUCAAUGUUCUUUCUUCAGUAAUUCACCCUUACUGAAAGAGAAAAGAAAAGAGAAAAGAAGAGAAGAGAAGAGGAAAGGAAAGGAGAAGAGAAAAGAGAAGAGAUGA
rnacentral:lncRNA from 1 species